ACACACACACAAGCUCAACGCACACCUCAACUUACAAGUAUAAACUUCAGACCACUUACGCAGGCUACGGCGAAAGCUCCGCAUGGAGCCUCCGCAGAACCAUAAAUCA